UUCGCAAUGCCCGAAAGGGUGACGAAGCGACGCCGCGUGUGGGAAGAAGGCCUUCGGGUUGUAAGCCACUGUCGGGAGUUAAGAAAUGCAAGGAUAUGAAUAGUGUCUUUGCUUGACUAAGGCUCCGGAGGAAGCCACGGCUAACUCUGUGCCAGCAGCCGCGGUAAUACAGAGGCGGCAAGCGUUGUUCGGAAUUAUUGGGCGUAAAGAGCACGUAGGCGGCUAUGUAAGUCGGUUGUGAAAGCCUUCCGCUCAACGGAAGAACAGCAUCCGAUACUACAUGGCUUGAGUGCGGGAGGGGAGAGUGGAACUUCUGGUGGAGCGGUGAAAUGCGUAGAUAUCAGAAGGAACGCCGGCGGCGAAAGCGGCUCUCUGGCCCAUAACUGACGCUGAGUGUGCGAAAGCUAGGGGAGCAAACGGGGUUAGAUACCCCGGUAGUCCUAGCCGUAAACGAUGGGCACUAAGUAGAGGGGUUUU
rnacentral:rRNA from 1 species